rnacentral:lncRNA from 1 species
AAGGUUAGAAACUAAACUACUACAAAAAUUGGUCAUAUAUCUAUGUCAGUCUUGUAUGAGAGGGUUAGCAGUUAUCUAAUUCAAGCUAGAAGUGAUUUCUACGAAAACAUCUUCACUGCAAGGAAUAGUUAUACCACCCAUUGGAUGGUCAUAUCCGAAUUGUUCCUCAGAUUGGCUUAAUAAGUCUUGGAAUGAGAUUUGGUUCAAGUAUGAUACAGGAAUCACAAACCUCUUCAUUUCCUCUCCUACAUACACAGCUAGAUAUCCCUUUGGAACACCUUUUGAAGAUGAUGACUUUGAUCUGAUGAUACUAGGUAAACGAAAACCCAUUGUUGUAUGUGUUGAAAAGAUGAGAUUGAUCUAAAAAACAAUGAUUGUAUAUAGAAGACUAGAGUUUUUGAACUUCAAAUGUGUUGGGAUGUGAAUGAUUUGUGUUGAUCCUAUGCCUGCAGUCUGCAGACAUGAAUAUAUAUAUAUAUAGAUGAAAGGAUAUGUAACAAACAGUCGGCAAGUUGAAGGAGGAUCAUGAGAUGGAUCUAUGCAAGCUAUGGGAAACAAGUGCAUGUGAAAGAUCACAUGGUGUUGUUUUGGAGGACUCGUUCAAGUUUCAACGUCAAAUUAAUUUCAUGGUAGAUAAUGUCUCCCCUUGAACAAAGGCAAGUGUCUAUGAUCCAUUACCAUACAGUUCGAUAGUACCAGCUGGAAAUCAACACUAUCAUCAUAAUGAAGAAAACAUGUCUAAAGCAUGUUUUCACAAUUAUGAAAUGCUAGUUAAUGCAUAAACAAAUAUGAGGUUGCCCUUGAAAGGGUGGGGUACAAUCUUAAGACAUCACCACAUGCUAUUUCCAACAAUAAUUUAGCUUGGAAUUGCAAUUCCAGAGAACCUAAAUAACUAUAAAUAUACUUACAAAUUGCCUUCAAACACACCAUAAGUCAUUUGCAUCCUCAAGUGUUAGUUACAUACUUCUAAAUUUUUUGAUAUCUUUGCUUUGUUGUGUCUUUUCUUCUCCUUUAAACAAUCAACAAAAAUGGGUUUCCGAUUAAAUGUUAUUCGACGGGCAUCAUUAACUGCCAACCAAGCAACAUCAAAAUCUGCAGAAGUGAGAAAGGGCUAUGUUGCAGUGUAUGUUGGAGAGAAACAGAAGCGGUUUGUGAUCCCCGUAUCAUACUUGAACCAACCAUUGUUUCAAGAGUUGUUGAGUCAAGCUGAGGAAGAGUUUGGUUACGAUCAUCCCAUGGGUGGCCUCACCAUUCCUUGCAACGAAGAUGUGUUUCAACAUGUAACUUCUCGCAUGAAUGAGCUAUGAAACUGUAGCAUACUGAUAGAUUAGUAGAGACAUUUUGUACAAUAGGAAUAUUUUUAACUUGUAAAGAUUAACCCCUUUCAUGGGAAAUAGAGAAAAAUAUUAAUCUGAAUACAAAGAAAACAAAACACUUUCAUAUCUUUUUCUUGUUUAAUGACAAUGAGUUCACUUACUUUAUCAAUUUCAUUAUUCUCUCUGCAAUUUUAAACAUGAUGAAAAAAUAGCAAGCUGCUUGCUGAAGGGAAAAAGAAUCGUCAUGAUUAUCUUCAUAAAUUUAACAGUAGAAAUGGAUAUUAACAGUCACUGCAAAGUUAAAAUUAUUUUUCAGAACAAAUGAAAAGAAUCUAGCAUAAGUUUAUUUUGGACGGAACGGAUUGUAAAGAAAUAACACCAAACACAACUAUAGUUAUUUCUUUCAGCCUGUUUCGGAAACAAGAUUUGUUACUUUUAUUUCUCUAAAUACUAUGUUACAGACCAAGAUUAUACUUUUUAUCUCAACUUCAAUGUAUUAAUAUAUACAUUUUUUGGCUGAAGAUUUAUAUAUAUACAUCUUUGUAUCUUGACUUCUGACAUUAGGAGAUAUUUUUUUUUUUAUAUAUAUCUAAACUUACUUUGAAUUCUCCACUGUGACAUAGUUUGUAACAAGGUAAGUCCCUCCAACACAAUAGUUUAAGGGAAAGACCUGCCUAUGUACCAAACAUAGUUUGAUACUUAAGAAUCUCAGCAUAAGUUUUAAAUUUAAUUAUGGAAGAAUAGAGUCAUCUUCCUAAAAUAUAUUAACUUACAUGUUGCAUCAAAAUGUUCUCCAUCUGAUGUAGACUCUUUCUAUAAGGAGUUACUUACUGUUAUCAUUGCUUCGCUGCAACCAUUGAAUUUGGCAUUGGAGCAUCCUCAGACUUCUUCUUGUUGAGGUUAUAUGGUCUGCCCUCAUCACCCUUUCCUUGCGCUUCUCCAAAAAUCGAGUCAAUGAUGCUUUGUGGGCCUGAGGUAUAGCUGACUACUUUUGGAGUCUCCACUUUGCUAGCAGAAGUCGUAGGAGUAGGACCUCUAAAUGUUUUAGCAGUUAGAAAUUCAUCACUGCUACUUGAGCCACUCCCUGACUGUGGACUGGUGUGUGAAGAAACAGAUAAAGGACUAGAAAUACCAGACAAGGGUGGUAUAUUUACAGGUGGACUCAUAGGCACACCAUUAUCACCAGAUGCAAACUUUGAACUAGGUGCCUGAAAUUCAUGUUGAAGCAUGUUUGAAGCUGAAGAUAUGCCAUUUCCAGCCAACAACAUGAUGGUUUGUGCCUUCUCAGAAGCGAUAUCAUUGAAGAUGUUCACAGUACCAGCAUAGAAAAUGGUAAGUUGAGAAACUGAUGCAGAUGGUUUCACACAUGGUUCAGUCAAACCAGCAACAUUAUCAACGAUUGGAAGAACUGAAUGAGGUUUUGUAACAGGUAAUCCCCCAAGUAGUGGUUGCUUCACAUUAGCACCAUUCAUAUUCUGACCAAAAGCUGCAAACUGAUUCUUUAGGACGGUUGUCCUGCAGAAACUGAAAUUGCUUGAUUGGAAACUGAAAACAUCUUCACAUCAUGGGGACGAUUCACAUAUUUCACAUCAUGAUACGGAUUUGCGGAAAAAUGAAAGCUUCCUUGUCCAUCAUGUUUGAAAAUUUCUCUAUGAAACCAGAAGAUGUUAUUUUUGCCAUGAAUAUCGAGGUCUAACUCAUCCUUACAAAACCGGCUUGUAAGGUGAGGAUUGUCUCCUCUUUAUAAACUUUUCUCAACUCACAAGCUAAAUAAUUAUUUCAAAUCCUAUUAUAUACACUUCUAAGUAAUUAUUUAUAUCUACCUUCUUAUCCAAUAAUUACGUUCUACUUGAAAGGGAAAAAACAACGAAAUACAUACUCAUUUAUGAUAAGUAAAUCAUGAAAGUUCCUUUUAACUUUCAUUUUUUGCAACAGGGGCAAUCAAAUUUUAUAUUUGAAAUAAAUUUACUUCCCAUUUUAUCAUUUAAGAGAUUCUAAGCUGAACAUUUAGCAAAUAGAUGCUUCAACUUUCAGACUGAUAUUUAAGAGGAGUAAAUAGAGAAAUAUGAUAAUAGUGUUAAUAAAUUUCUCAUUCAGAUGAACUUUUUACAUCCAAGUAUGAUAACAACAAAACAGAAAAUCUUUUGAAAGUCAGAAACUAAACUACAAAAAUUGGUCAUAUAUCUAUGUCAGUCUAGUGAUAUCCUCUGAGGGAUACCAGGUAUUCAAUUCAAUUGAGAAGUAAUAUCUAAGAAAACGUCUUCUCUACAAGGAAUUGUGAGACCACCCAUUGGAUGGUCAUAUCCAUAUUGCUCCUCGGUUUGGCUCAACAAUUCUUGAAAUGAGGUUUGGCUCAAGUAUGAUACAGGGAUCACAAACCGCUUCAUUUUAUCUCCUACAUAUACUGCUAGAUAUCCCUUUGGCACAUCCACACCUUUUGAUGAUGAUGACCUUCUGAUAAUACUUGGUAAACGAAAACCCAUUGUUGUAAGUAAGUCUUGAAAAGAAGGUAUUGGUCUAAACUAAGAAGGUAUUGGAUGUGAAUGAUUUGUGUUGGUCCUAAAUGCUUGCAGCGAUGAAUAUAUAUAGAUGAAUCAAAGGAUACUUAACAAACCGUCGGCAACUAUAAUGAUCGCUGAAGGAGGGCCAUGUGAUAUGAGUCAUGUUCAGACAAGAGCAUACGAAAGAUCACAUGGUGUUGUCUUCAGAGUUUAAAGGACUUUCGCAAUGAUCAACAUCAAAUAUUUUGUUGAAAGGAUAAUGCAAGUCCCACAUCCUUGAAAGGAUAACCACAAACAUGUAGAAUGAUGAACUAUACUUAUCCAUUUCCUUGUAUAGUUUACCAGCUGGAAAUCAACACUAUCAUCAUAAUGAAGAAAACAUGUAUAAAGCAUGUUUACAGAAUUAUGAAGUACUAGUUAAUGCAUGAAGAAAUAUGAGGAUGCACUUGAAAUGUGGGGUACAGGCUAAAGACAUAGCCACAUGCUAUAUUAUCAUACCCUUUAACUCUUUCAAACAAUAAUUUAGCUUGCAAUUGGAAUUCCAGAGAACUUAAAUAACUAUAAAUAUACUUACAAAUUGCCUUCAAACACACCACAAGUCAUUGGCAUCCUCAAGUGUUAGUUACAUCCUUCUAAAGUUUUUGAUAUAUUUGAUCUGUUGAGUCUUUUCUUCUCCUUCAAACAAUCACCAAAAAUGGGUUUCCGUUUAAAUGUUAUUCGACGGGCAUCAUUAACUGCCAACCAAACAGCAUCAAAAUCUGCAGAAGUGAGAAAGGGCUAUGUUGCAGUGUAUGUUGGAGAGAAACAGAAGCGGUUUGUGAUCCCAAUAUCAUAUUUUAACCGACCAUCAUUUCAAAACUUAUUGAGUCAAGCUGAAGAAGAGUUUGGAUAUGAUCAUCCCAUGGGUGGCCUCACCAUUCCUUGUCCUGAAGAUGUCUUUCAACACAUAACUUCUCACUUGAAUGGGCUAUGAAAUUGACAUAAUAGCAUGCUAACAUAGAUUAAUUAGUAGAGAUAUUUUGUAUAACAGGAAUCUUUUUAACUUGUAAAGAUUAUCCCUUUUCUUGGGAAACAGAGAAAAAUCAUUAUUUCAUUACAACAUGAUUCAUAUUUCUUCUUGCGUAAUCAUAGUGGGCUCAGUUGCUUUAUUAAUUACGAUUUUCAGUACUCUCUACAAUUUGAAGUAAACUCAUAAAUUUCAUCGCAGAAAUGAUCUUAACAGACAAUUCAACUGCAGAACUAAAAUUACUUUUCAGAACCAAAGAAAAGUAUCAAGCAUAUGUUUAUUUGGGACAACAGUUAAAGAACUUUGAGCAUUUUGAAAUUAUACAAUCUGUUACUCCUAUUUAUCUAGAUACUAAUUAACAAAAUUACUUUCGUUGUUAAAAAUAUAACUAAACCUUUCUCUGUAACAAAAUCAGCUUUGCUAUCUCAAACUAAACCUUUACCCAUCAGAACGCUCUAAUUUUCUACUUUAGAGAAAAUUUUGGAGUGCUUUGGUUUAGUUAACAGGGAAACGAACUACCACCAAGUUAGCAUGGAAAAACAAUGAAAAGGAAUUUGAAUGGAAGAUCAAUGAAGAGGAAUAUGAGCAAAGAAUUGGAUAACACAAAAUCUUAAGAAAUAUUCACUUAGAUACGCUAGAUUGAGCAAGAUAAUGUACUAUGUCUCAUCACAAGUUAUGAAGAUGUGAAAUUCAAAUAACACACUUGUUUUUAUGCAACUUUGAUACUUCAUUUGAAGCCUAUUUGGAGAUACACAUGGAUUAGAUGGCCUAGGCACUUAUAACAUUUUUAUGCAUUAGCAAAGUAAAAUGUUUACAUAGACAAUUCUUUUCAAGAGAGGUGAAUUUUUCAUUUUAUCAUCUAGAGAUUCCAAACUAAACACAUUUAGCUUAUUGGAGAAUUUGAUUGUCAAAUAAAUUAUAGAGGGAAAAUUUUAAAGAAAUAAGGCAAUGUUUAUAAAUUUCCUCAUCCAGAUGAACUUGUUUACAAACAAGUUUAAUAGCAACAAAAGAAAAUAUUUCCACAAUACAAAAUUUGUCAACUAUCUACGUCAGUGUAAUCUAAGUUAUCUUCAUAAGGAGUUAGUGCCUAUUCAAGUGAGAAGUGAUAUCUAAGAAAAGAUCUUCUCCACAAGGAAUAGUAAGACCACCCAUUGGAUGGUCAUAUCCAAAUUGUUCCUCAGCUUGGCUCAGCAAAUCUUGGAAUGAUGUUUGUUUCAAAUAUGAUAUUGGAAUCACAAACCGCUUCAUUUUCUCUCCUACAUACACUGCAAGGUAUCCCUUUGGUACAUCCAUAUCUUUUGAAGAUGUUGCCCUUCUAAUACCAGGUAAACGAAAACCCAUUUUUGUAUGUGUUGAACAAGAAAAGACUUGUCUAUAGAAGACUUAAGUUUCUGAAUUUCAAAUGCUUUGGGAUGUGUAUGAAUUGUGGUGGUUCUAAAUGCAUGCAGCCAUGAACUUAUAUAGAUGAUGAAAAGAUGUGUAACUAACCGUCGAGAACUUGAAUGAUCAAUGAAGGAGGACCAUAAGUUAUGAGUCAUGGCCAGACAAGAGCAUGUGAAAGACCACAUGGUGUUGUCUUAGAGGACUUUCUCAAGCUUCAAUGUCUAUACAUUUUAGUAGAUGAUGCAGGCUCCACCUCCUUGAGCAAAGGCCAGCAAAGCAUAUUAAUCUACACAGAUAAUAACAAACAUGUAGA